rnacentral:rRNA from 1 species
AUGGACCAGACGGAAGCCCUGCCCGACGACACGCUCACCAACGUCCUCGGCCGCCUUCCGCCGUGCGACCUCGCCGCGUCCCGCUGCGUCCGCAGGACGUGGUGUGCCGUCGUCGACACCCACCGCCUCUUGGUGCCGCACCUGCUCCCGCACUCGCUGCACACGGUAUCUUCGUCAACUACAUCGACUACAAUCGCCCGCGCUACUUCGCCCGCCCCUCGGCGCAGAAGCCCGCGAUCGGCUGCAACCUAG